UCUCAGUGAUGUCAAAAUUGAUGACGAGUCUGAUAUCCAUUCUUAACCUUGAUGUUAACUGAGGCAUUUGUCUGAGAGGA
rnacentral:snoRNA from 1 species